UCCUCAAGACAGAGUGGGUCUCUGGAGAC
rnacentral:piRNA from 2 species